CACGUAGGGGGCGAGCGUUGUCCGGAUUUAUUGGGCGUAAAGAGCUCGUAGGCGGUUCGGCAAGUCGGGUGUGAAGUUUCGAGGCUCAACCUCGAAACGCCACUCGAUACUGCUGUGACUGGAGUCCGGUAGAGGAGUGCGGAAUUCCUGGUGUAGCGGUGAAAUGCGCAGAUAUCAGGAGGAACACCGGUGGCGAAGGCGGAUCUCUGGGCCAUUACUGACGCUGAGGAGCGAAAGCGUGGGGAGCGAACAGG
rnacentral:rRNA from 1 species